rnacentral:rRNA from 1 species
AACGAACGCUGGCGGCAUGCCUAACACAUGCAAGUCGAACGAGACCUUCGGGUCUAGUGGCGCACGGGUGCGUAACGCGUGGGAACCUGCCCUUAGGUUCGGAAUAACUCCCCGAAAGGGGUGCUAAUACCGGAUAAUGUCUUCGGACCAAAGAUUUAUCGCCUUUGGAUGGGCCCGCGUUGGAUUAGCUAGUUGGUAGGGUAAAAGCCUACCAAGGCGACGAUCCAUAGCUGGUCUGAGAGGAUGAUCAGCCACACUGGGACUGAGACACGGCCCAGACUCCUACGGGAGGCAGCAGUGGGGAAUAUUGGACAAUGGGCGAAAGCCUGAUCCAGCAAUGCCGCGUGAGUGAUGAAGGCCUUAGGGUUGUAAGGCUCUUUUACCCGGGAUGAUAAUGACAGUACAGGGAGAAUAAGCUCCGGCUAACUCCGUG